rnacentral:rRNA from 1 species
CUCCUAGAGAUUCCCUACGGGAGGCAGCAGUGGGGAAUAUUGCACAAUGGGCGCAAGCCUGAUGCAGCCAUGCCGCGUGUAUGAAGAAGGCCUUCGGGUUGUAAAGUACUUUCAGCGGGGAGGAAGGUGUUGAGGUUAAUAACCUCAGCAAUUGACGUUACCCGCAGAAGAAGCACCGGCUAACUCCGUGCCAGCAGCCGCGGUAA